UGGCAACGAACGUCACGUAGCGGCGGCAUCAUUAGCCAAACCGCCAGGUCUCAGACUCAGUCUCAAUCCCAAUCCCAGAUGGAGACAGAGUCACAAAACUCAGCGGCUUGAAAAGUGAUUGCACAAAGGAAAAUAUUUCUAGGAUUUUUGGAGAUGAAAUCAUAUGGGAAACUGCCAGAAAGAAGAUGAAAUAAUGACUACUCCAAUCCCUAAUUAUUGUUUUCUUUAAGCCAGAAAAAGCAAAUAAAAGGUCAAAAUAUAUCAGCAGACUCUCACACACCCAAAGCGAUGAUGAUUACUCAUUCGGUUGAUUUCAGGGGAGCAGCAAAUUAGCCUCUGACAACUCAAUUGGACAUCUGCAGGCUGCAGGCAGACUGGGAGAUCUGCAGAUCCGGAACGGACUCAAAAAAACCCCCGCAAAAUGGACGCUUUGGACCACACCCAUUGAGUAAUCCGCUAACAGAAAUCUGCCGGUGCGGCUCAGUCAUUUGGCACAUUUAAUCCACGCGUCAGCGAGCACCGGGGCACCGGGAAAAUGUUUGCGCAUAGUUUAGGCCAGAUAAAUCUCAAGUUAAAUGGCCAAAAGUCAAAAUAAAUUAAGCCCACAUGCGACACACACGAAAACAACACGGCGGCAGCAGCAGAGAGCCGAAAUAAAAUAGAAAAGAGUUCGAAGCCAGCAGGCGACAGGCAGUCACCACAAACGUUGUCACACCCUUCUGGCCAUUCCAUUCUGACCCGUACCCGAUCGUCGAAGUUGGAUCCCGGCUCCAGCUUGGAGCUCCAAGCUUGGAGCCCAGCUUGGAGCCAGCGACGCCCACAUGCAGAUGCAUUCGCUUCAAGACAAUGGGCACGGCCACAGCGCCAGGUCUUGGCACUGGGAAAAAAUAUAUAGGGAGAAGUUUUUAUUUGCUUUAUUUAUAAUUUAAAGAAUUUUGGAAGCCUUGUUUCUUUAACUAAAAUUUUAGAUAAUUAUUUCCACAAAAAAACUGAUUAAAGUGAAUUUUUUGGAAUUAUAUGUUCUUUUUUAAAAACUAUCCUUGAAUUACAAAACCAUCUUAUGGCUUUAUAAAUGCUUUAAAAAAUUCUUAAUAAAUUAAUCUAUU